AUUGAACGCUGGCGGCAUGCCUUACACAUGCAAGUCGAACGGUAACGGGUCUUCGGAUGCUGACGAGUGGCGAACGGGUGAGUAAUACAUCGGAACGUGCCUAGUAGUGGGGGAUAACUACUCGAAAGAGUGGCUAAUACCGCAUGAGAUCUACGGAUGAAAGCAGGGGAUCGCAAGACCUUGUGCUACUAGAGCGGCCGAUGGCAGAUUAGGGAGUUGGUGGGAUAAAAGCUUACCAAGCCGACGAUCUGUAGCUGGUCUGAGAGGACGAUCAGCCACACUGGGACUGAGACACGGCCCAGACUCCUACGGGAGGCAGCAGUGGGGAAUUUUGGACAAUGGGCGCAAGCCUGAUCCAGCAAUGCCGCGUGCAGGAUGAAGGCCUUCGGGUUGUAAACUGCUUUUGUACGGAACGAAAAGCCCCGGGUUAAUACCCUGGGGUCAUGACGGUACCGUAAGAAUAAGCACCGGCUAACUACGUGCCAGCAGCCGCAGUAA
rnacentral:rRNA from 1 species